rnacentral:rRNA from 1 species
CUACGGGCCGCAGCAGUGAGGAAUAUUGCACAAUGGGGGGAACCCUGAUGCAGCAACGCCGCGUGGAGGAUGACGCAUUUCGGUGUGUAAACUCCCUUUAUAUGUCAAGAAAAUGACGGUAGCAUAUGAAUAAGCGCCGGCUAACUCCGUGCCAGCAGCCGCGGUAAUACGGAGGGCGCAAGCGUUACUCGGAAUCACUGGGCGUAAAGGACGCGUAGGCGGGUUGAAAAGUCAGGUGUGAAAGCCUACAGCUUAACUGUAGAACUGCACUUGAAACUCUCAAUCUAGAGUAUGGGAGGGGCAGAUGGAAUUAGUGGUGUAGGGGUAAAAUCCGUAGAUAUCACUAGGAAUACCUAAAGCGAAGGCGAUCUGCUGGAACAUUACUGACGCUAAGGCGUGAAAGCGUGGGGAGCAAACAGGAUUAGAUACCCCGGUAGUC